rnacentral:rRNA from 1 species
GACGAACGCUGGCGGCGUGCUUAACACAUGCAAGUCGAACGGAAAGGCCCUGCUUUUGUGGGGUGCUCGAGUGGCGAACGGGUGAGUAACACGUGAGUAACCUGCCCUUGACUUUGGGAUAACUUCAGGAAACUGGUGCUAAUACCGGAUAGGAGCUCCUGCUGCAUGGUGGGGGUUGGAAAGUUUCGGCGGUUGGGGAUGGACUCGCGGCUUAUCAGCUUGUUGGUGGGGUAGUGGCUUACCAAGGCUUUGACGGGUAGCCGGCCUGAGAGGGUGACCGGCCACAUUGGGACUGAGAUACGGCCCAGACUCCUACGGGAGGCAGCAGUGGGGAAUAUUGCACAAUGGGCGGAAGCCUGAUGCAGCAACGCCGCGUGCGUGAUGACGGCCUUCGGGUUGUAAACCGCUUUCGCCUGUGACGAAGCGUGAGUGACGGUAAUGGGUAAAGAAGCACCGGCUAACUACGUG